AGAGAGAGAGAGAAAGAGAUCCUAAGUUAAAGUAUCACAACAAAAUACAUUUGAAAAAAACAAUAAAAAAAUUCCAUUUAUUAGAUAUCUAAUGACGGGAAAAACACCUGUAUCUUAUGGCCUGUUCUGCCUUGCCAUCAAUUUUUUUCAAGAGAAUGUUCCAGCCCAACCCAGGAGAUAGGGAGGAUGUAUGAAAAACAUAAUCACUUUUUUUUUUUUGAAACAAGACACUCAAAGAAAAGAAUACAGGUACAAAUGACACCUUCAAUAACCCAAGCUAACAUAGCUUAGUUUCACCAACUAUAAAUGCCAAGACUCUAAAUGGCUCAAUGAAACAGAUGCAUUGCCAUUUCUCUCCAAAACCUCAAAACAGUAUAUCUCUGGCUUUCACCAGAAUAAGCUAAUAAUACCACCAUUUGAAGGAUUGCAAGGAUCCUCCUAAAAGCUUAAAUGAAAAACACGUAAGAGAAAUAUAUAAAUAAGUAGCCACACAUACUCAGGAUGAUUAUACCAGUCAAUCUACAAUUUGCAAAUCAACAAAAUCUUUGAUAUGGUUAAGACAUCUUUCCUGCCCCAAAUCCAAUAGGAUUACAGUUCUU
rnacentral:misc_RNA from 1 species